GACGACGCUGGCGGCGUGGAUAGGCAUGCAAGUCGAACGGUAUCAUCCUUCGGGGGUGAGAGAGUGGCGAACUGGUGAGUAACACGUAGGUUAUCUACCCUCAAGACGGGACAACCCAGGGAAACUUGGGCUAAUACCGGAUGUGAGCAACUUUUAGUUGUUUGAAAGGUGGCGUAAGCUGUCGCUUGGGGAUGAGCCUGCGUCCUAUUAGUUAGUUGGUGAGGUAACGGCUCACCUAGGCAAUGAUAGGUAGGCGGCCUUAACGGGUGGUCGCCCACACUGGGAUUGAGAUACGGCCCAGACUCCUACGGGAGGCAGCAGUCGAGAAUAGUCUACAAUGGUCGGAAGACUGAUAGUGCGACGCCGCGUGAACGAUGAAUCCCUUCGGGGUGUAAAGUUCUUUUAUAUGUGAGCAGUGCUUCUUAUAUUAACAGUAUGGGGAGAGAGAUAUUAGCAUAUGAAUAAGCAACGGCUAACUCCGUG
rnacentral:rRNA from 1 species